rnacentral:rRNA from 1 species
ACCCGCUGAACUUAAGCAUAUCAAUAAGCGGAGGAAAAGAAACUAACAAGGAUUCCCCUAGUAACGGCGAGUGAAGCGGGAACAGCUCAAAUUUGAAAUCUCACAGGGUUACCUGUGCGAAUUGUAGUUUAGAGAAGCGUUUUCGGGGGCGACUUGGGUAUAAGUCCUCUGGAACGAGGCAUCAUAGAGGGUGAGAAUCCCGUUUAUGAUCCAAUGUUCGCUCCUAUGUGAUACGCUUUCCAAGAGUCAGGUAGUUUGGGAUUGCUGCCUAAAAUGGGUGGUAAAUACCAUCUAAAGCUAAAUAUUGGCGAGAGACCGAUAGCAAACAAGUACCGUGAGGGAAAGAUGAAAAGAACUUUGAAAAGAGAGUUAAACAGUACGUGAAAUUGCCAAAAGGGAAACGCUUGGAACCAGUAUUGCUUGCAGGUAAUCAACCGCACGUCCUGAAAGGGUCGCGUGUGGUGCACUUGCUUGCAAGCAGGUCAACAUCAGUUUGGCUUAGGGUAAAAACCCGGAGGAAGGUAGCUUGGGCUUCGGUCUGAGUGUUAUAGCCUCCGGUUAUGCCACAAGCUGGACUGAGGACUGCAGUGUUUUUUGGAUACCCGAUCGCCUCUUGAAGCCGGUGUUCAGACAGCUUGCUGACUGACCUCUGGUGUAGGGAGCCCGGUCGGAUAAUCACACCAACACUUAGGAUGUUGACGAAAUGGUUCCAAACGACCCGUCUUGAAACACGG